GGUCAUGGCACUUCUAUGUGUUCCAUAUAUGUACUACAAUUACAGAUUGUACACGAGAAGGCAGCACCUUGUUGAUGUGACAGAGAUUUUUAAUCUGCUUAAUUGGGAAAAGAAACAGCGGCUUUUCAAACUAGGCUAUAUCGUCCUUCUCCUCUUCAUAUCAUUAUUUUGGUUAAUUUACAGUGCCUUGGAGGAUGAUGAAGAGUCCCUAUAGGUUCUAUUUCUGCUGCAUUUGCUCAUUUAUGCUGGCUUGUUCUAGUUCAUUAUUCUUGAAUGUUCAGGGUUUAGAAUAGCAGAUUUGAUCGCAGAUUUGAAGCUCUCCUGUCCCCCUCCCUAUUCAAUUUCCAAGCAAGUGCAGGUUUUCGGGUUCUACAUAUGUACUGCAGGGUGUGAUUUUGAGUAACAUAGUACCUUCAA
rnacentral:misc_RNA from 1 species